ACGAGUGGCGCACGGGUGCGUAACGCGUAUGCAACUUACCCCAAACUGGAGAAUAGCCUUUCGAAAGGAAGAAUAAUACUCCAUAGUAUUUCAAAGAGGCAUCUCUUUGUUCUUAAAGCUUCGGCGGUUUGGGAUGGGCAUGCGUUCUAUUAGUUAGUUGGUGAGGUAACGGCUCACCAAGACCACGAUAGAUAGGGGGCCUGAGAGGGUUAUCCCCCACACUGGUACUGAGACACGGACCAG
rnacentral:rRNA from 1 species